CUUGGUCAUUUAGAGGAAGUAAAAGUCGUAACAAGGUUUCCGUAGGUGAACCUGCGGAAGGAUCAUUAGAAUAUCGGGAAAUUUAUUUUUCCUAAUACUUUAUUCAAAAAAAAUUUUCAAUCUAUAAAUUCGAUUUUUUAUUUUUUUUUUUAAAAAAUUAUUAAGAUAACUUUCAACAACGGAUCUCUUGGCUCUUGCAUCGAUGAAGAACGCAGCGAAAUGCGAUAAGUAAUGUGAAUUGCAGAAUUCCGUGAAUCAUUAAAUCUUUGAACGCAAAUUGCACUUCUUGGUAUUCCGAGGAGUAUGCUUGCUUGAGGGUUGGUCUACAAAAAAAUCGUGAAAAUUUAUUUUCGCGGAUCUGGGUUUUCCAAAGACUUUUUUUGGUAACCUUAAAUUCAUCUUAACAAUCUUAGGUAUUGAUAUUAGAAAUGUUUUAUCUUACAUAUCGUGAGUUCAUUGAUAAUUAUACCAAUUGUUACAUCGCGUUAUUCGCCUAUCUUUCGAUCGGGUGAAAUAAUUCAAUAUUUUUUAAUCCUACCUCAAGUCAAGUAAGAAUACCCGCUGAACUUAAGCAUAUCAAUAAGCGGAGGA
rnacentral:rRNA from 1 species